rfam:Hordeum vulgare subsp. vulgare, WGS project CAJW01000000 data, contig: morex_contig_1585450
GUAGUACUCCCUUCGUUUCAAAAAAUUUGUCUUACAUUUUUUUAGAUAUGGAUGCAUCUAGAUAUUAAUAGAUGACUAGAUACAUUCAUAUCUAGACAAAUCAAGACAAUAAUUUUAAAACGGAGGGAGUACUUG